UCUGAGUGGGGGAAGCAAGAAGUGGAGGUGUCAGAUGACAGAAUAGACAGUCUGAGUGGGGGAAGCAAGAAGUGGAGGUGUGUGAUGACAGAAUAGACAGUCUGAGUGGGGGAAGCAAGAAGUGGAGGUGUGUGAUGACAGAAUAGACAGUCUGAGUGGGGGAAGCAAGAAGUGGAGGUGUGUUAUGACAGAAUAGACAGUCUGAGUGGGGGAAGCAAGAAGUGGAGGUGUGUGAUGACAGAAUAGACAGUCUGAGUGGGGGAAGCAAGAAGUGGAGGUGUGUGAUGACAGAAUAGACAGUCUGAGUGGGGGAAGCAAGAG